rfam:Fukomys damarensis contig58253, whole genome shotgun sequence.
UGAGAUGUAGCUCAGUGGUAAGAGAGCACAUGCUUGGCAUCCAUGAGACCCAAGUUUGAUCUUUAGCAUCACCA